CUCAGCUUGCCGGAGCCGCCCGCCGCCCUACGCCACGCCCCGCCGGAGCCGCCCCCUUCGCCGCGGGAGCCGCGGGCCGCUGGAACCGCCCUUCGCCGCCCCGCCGCUCAGCUUGCCGGAGCCGCCCGCCGCACCCCCUUGGCCACGGGAGCCGCGUGCCGCCGAGCCGUUCCUCCACGACCACCACAACCAAGGCAGGGAGCGCUGCUCCAACCUCCUCUGCUAUGACUCCAAGUCUGACGACGCCCGCGACCAGGCGUGCUCCCCUCCAUGAGAUUUCAGGAUAGAAAGGGAGCUUUGGAGAGGGAUCGCAAAGAUCAAGGCUAUUGUGUCAAGUACUGUGCUCAAAACGUCCAUUGGGUGCAUCCAUCUCGCCCCAGUUCAUCACCAACCACCGUGCAAUUUACAUCCACUGCGAUCAUGGAUGACCCCGUGAGACAUUGUCGUCAGUCCUAUUCUUCUAGAUACAAUGGGUCAGCUAAUACGCCAUUACUAUUUCUCCAAUAUUGUUCAUGAUCUCUUCGCCGCCCCUUGAUGCCGGGCUUGGAGCUCACCUGGCCCGCAUGGCCCCGCCGCCUCUCCCACGCCGUGUCUGCCCAGCAGUCGCACUAGGCCAAGAUGAGGACAAAGUCAAACCCCAGACAGCGUAGGGACUGAAGCAACAAUCUGUUCAUUUCGGACACUUGGGCCCAGAAAUUAGGAGUUGAGGUUUGCCUCAUUGAGAAGUACUGGCCGGGAGUUCACCUUCACAAUCAACCAGUGAUCCCUUGUACUACUUGAGGGAUCAAGCCGAGAUUUGGCUGUCGGCUGUCGGCUUUUCCUAUAGGGACAAAGCUCAACUGUUGAAUGUUGAUGGUGAAUCGAAGAUAGUGCUUAUUCCAGUUGUAGUUGCGAGUAAUAUGGAUGAAGAACUGAGAGCAGCGUUUGGUCAAACGAUUCAGGUAGGAAACUGGUUUUCGCAAAUGCCCAAAUCGUGGUAAAGGCAGUAAAGGUACUGGCACAGCGGAGUUAUUGUGGUAUAUGCCAGCAUGUUUGACGCUGUCACACGAGCUGUUGAUAACUCGAUAUGCUAUGAGUUGUCCUUCUGAUGAAGAACUUUUUACUUACAUCUCAAUUUUCAUUGUGUCUGGAGGAUAAAUACUAAUACUAUCUCCUUUGAUCUUUUGGCUGUCCCUCGGGCCAUGAAUGUUCCUACUGGGGUGAAGGAGAACAUUCAGCUCAUGAGGGGGCUUCACAUGGUCGCCGAUAUCCAAUGCCUUGAUUGUCGUGAGGCGCUCGUGUGGAAGUGCAAGAUGGACUACGAGGAAUCACAGAAGUACAAGGAAUGGAAGUUCAUAUUUGAGAAGGCAAAUAUUGUACAUGAGAAUUGGUAGUAAAUAAAAAAGUCAACAAUGUGCCAAAAUGCUAUUAUGGAGAUGUGAAUUGUGAUCCCUGCCUUUGUACAUAGCAGUCACCUGUAAGUACCAAUUUGUUGGUCGCACCAUCUUAUUUCGCGCCAUAAUUUACACUUUUGUUUUCUGUGGAGAGACAAAUUUUGUUAAUUUGUCUCGGAACCAUUUUUUGUUCAUAGCUGGUUGGCUUAAGAAUGUUUGAUCUUUUUG